rnacentral:rRNA from 1 species
UACGGAGGGAGCUAGCGUUGUUCGGAAUUACUGGGCGUAAAGCGCACGUAGGCGGCUAUUCAAGUCGGGGGUGAAAGCCCGGGGCUCAACCCCGGAACUGCCCUCGAAACUAGAUAGCUAGAAUCUUGGAGAGGCGAGUGGAAUUCCGAGUGUAGAGGUGAAAUUCGUAGAUAUCAGGAGGAACACCGAUGGCGAAGGCAGCUCACUGGGACGGUACUGACGCUCAGGCGCGACAGCGUGGGGAUCAAACAGG